UACGGGGGGGCAAGCGUUGUUCGGAAUUACUGGGCGUAAAGGGCUCGUAGGCGGCCAACUAAGUCAGACGUGAAAUCCCUCAGCUUAACUGGGGAACUGCGUCUGAUACUGGAUGGCUUGGAUCGGAAGAGGGAUGCGGAAUUCCAGGUGUAGCGGUGAAAUGCGUAGAUAUCUGGAGGAACACCGGUGGCGAAGGCGGCAUCCUGGGCCGUAGUUGACGCUGAGGAGCGAAAGCCAGGG
rnacentral:rRNA from 1 species